CCCAUAGCGUAUAUUAAAGUUGUUGCAGUUAAAAAGCUCGUAGUUGAAUUUCGGGGUUAGUAGGUUGGUCAUGCCUCUGGUAUGUACUGGUCUCACUGAUUCCUCCUUCCUUAUGAACCGUAAUGCCAUUAAUUUGGUGUUGCGGGGAAUUUGGACUGUUACUUUGAAAAAAUUAGAGUGUUUAAAGCAAGCUAACGCUUGAAUACAUUAUCAUGUAAUAAUGAAAUAGGACGUUCGAUCUUAUUUUGUUGGUUUCUAGGAUUGACGUAAUGAUUAAUAGGGAUAGUUGGGGGCAUUAGUAUUCAAUUGUCAGAGGUGAAAUUCUUGGAUUUAUUGAAGACUAACUACUGCGAAAGCAUUUGCCAAGGAUGUUUUCAUUAAUCAAGAACGAAAGUUAGGGGAUCGAAGACGAUCAGAUACCGUCGUAGUCUUAACCAUAAACUAUGCCGACUAGGAAUCAGACGAUGUUAAUUUUUUAAUGACUCGUUUGGCACCUUACG
rnacentral:rRNA from 1 species